rnacentral:misc_RNA from 1 species
UUCAACUUAACAGCCAUAUACUUGGCAAGAACGCCGCCCGCCAGUGUAAAUGUCUGUCAAUCGGGUCAACCCAAGUAUUGCGUUUCCAAAAGGGUCGCCCAUGUUGGAAUCUGUGAACGCCCUGAAAAAUUUAAGCCCUAGUGACAUCCCCUUUAACUCAAAAACAGCAACAACAACGGAGCGUGAUGUCGUGUGUGCUUUCACCUACCUUGGUCGCCACUCAACAUGAGUUCUCAAGGAGAAACGUAUUAUUUUAAAGUUGAGAAUGUCACAAUUUAUGACUUGUUUGAUUGGGCUCUUGAAAGACAGGAUUCUGGUGAGAUUGUUGUGUCUCGGAAAAUGGUCAAUUGGGAGAAUAGGGUGUCAAGAUCACCAAGCCGCAAAGCAACCCUGAGAACUGGCUGCCUGGUGAAGGUAAAUGAGCAAGAAGUAGCACUUUUCCGCCUUGGUGACAUCGUUUAUGCCAUAUCUGAGCAUUGUCCUCAUUCAGGGGGACCCCUUCACAUAGGAGAUAUAGAGGCACUCCCUGACCGCUCACUGUGUGUCAGGUGUCCAUAUCAUGGAUGGAAAUUUAACCUUGUGACAGGCAAGUGUCACCAUCCAAAGACACGCCAGGAUUUAUCUGCAAUGGUUUAUCCAGUGAAAGUCAACCCACAAAAUGGAGAAAUAGCUAUUGGAUUCAAUGAAUUUAAUCCAUUUUAUUUCAAAACACCUCUUGCUUGAUGCCAUUAUUUGGUGUAGUCCAUGCUCCAAAGACCAGAUUUUUUAUUGACAAUCUGUAGGACAGAAAUGGCUGGACAUGUUUCUUUAACCUAAUGUCUCUGUUCACCUAGCAGUAAAUAAUACCUGUUCAUCCUGAGGAAAGUCCAUAGUUGAACCUAUGAGAAUGUACGUGUGACCAAGGUUGGAUACCAGACACUUUGGGAAUUAUAUCUACCUACCU